UACGAAGGGGGCUAGCGUUGCUCGGAAUUACUGGGCGUAAAGCGUGCGCAGGCGGCUUCGCAAGUCAGGCGUGAAAUCCCCGGGCUUAACCUGGGAAUGGCGUCUGAAACUACGGAGCUGGAGUGUGGCAGAGGGAGGUAGAAUUCCACGUGUAGCGGUGAAAUGCGUAGAUAUGUGGAGGAAUACCGAUGGCGAAGGCAGCCUCCUGGGCCAACACUGACGCUCAUGCACGAAAGCGUGGGGAGCAAACAGG
rnacentral:rRNA from 1 species